UACGUAGGUGACAAGCGUUGUCCGGAUUUACUGGGCGUAAAGAGCGCGCAGGCGGUCGAUCAAGUCGAGUGUGAAAGCCCCCGGCUCAACUGGGGAGGGUCAUUCGAUACUGAUCGACUUGAAGGCAGGAGAGGGUAGUGGAAUUCCCGGUGUAGUGGUGAAAUGCGUAGAUAUCGGGAGGAACACCUGUGGCGAAAGCGGCGCACUGGACCACAUCUGACGCUGAGGCGCGAAAGCUAGGGGAGCAAACAGG
rnacentral:rRNA from 1 species